GGGAUCCGGUCUGAUGAGCAGCCUAGAAAUCACGUUGCACUUUUGAAGGCAGCAAACGAAUAAAACGAGAAUGAUAGUCUGUUCGCAUAUCAUGACCUGGUCACUCAGUUGUUAUGCUAACAAACUUUAAGUCCUCUUUGAUUCUGUUCCAUCAAUCCUGUACCCGCUCUCCCUGCUGAAUUUUCUAGAGGCCUUUGGGGAGUAGGUCAGUAAGGCAUCAUUGUGAUUAAAGAGAACAGAAGGAAUUCCAAGACAUCACAGUUAAAGCUUUUUUUUUUUUUUUUAAUUUUCAAAUUGGCUGUUUCUCUUACCCCAAAGAUUUACAUUUUUAGGUACACAUUGUUUCAGUUUGCAUUAAAAUUACUUUAUAUUCCUUGACCCCAACUAAUGGUUAAGAAGAUAGCCUAAAACAUAACUUUGGCAUCAAAUCUCAUUAUGAAAAUAAAAAUACUGUCUGCAAGUAAAUGACUUGUGAAGUGAAGAUUCAGUACCCAAUUAAGCAUUAGUUGCUAGAUCCAGGGAUCCCUGUCUUUUAAAAAUAAAGGCUUGCCAGAGGGAGGGAGGUGGUUAAGGGGACCUAAUAUAUGGUGAAGGAAGAAGAUCUGACUUUGCAUGGUGGGAACACAGUGCAAUAUACAGAUAGUGUAACAUAGAAACCCACACCUAAAAACCUGUAUGAUCAUAUUAACCAAUGUCACCCCAAUAAAUUUAAUAAAAAAUGAAUUAAUCAUCAAAAUAAAUAAAUAAAGACCAAAAAAAGAAGAAUGGGGAGAAACAUGGGUUGAAAUUGGGUUUAUGAAAGGAGAAAAGGGUAAAAUUUGAUAAUUCACAAUCAGGUGAGCCGAUUAAAUAAACAGUAUUCAGUUCAUUCUGCCUCGUAUUUCAUAUAAGGUAUAACCUUAUUAAGUGGAGUUUUUGUUGGGUGAUUUAUUAAUAAAAAUUGCAUGGAGACAGGAAAACUGUUUUCACUUAUAGAUUCCAGCUGCUGUUUUUGUCUAGUUAUCAAAAUCUCUUCUGUCUUCUCUCUAAGACAAAAAGAAGUGAAAUGAUUGUUGAUAGAUUAAGGAGCUCAAUUCAUUUUAUCACCCAAAGACUAGGUGCUUGCUUCCCUGAGUUUUACCUUACAUGGUUGCCUCUCUAAAUGGGAUAUAGCAUUAACUGAUUAAAAAGCAGUAAGCCAAGGAUUUAGUCCCUUAUUUUUUUAUGUCAGGGUAAGGUGAAGUAUCUGAAGAGAGAUUAUUCCAGGAUUGUUAGCAGAAAGGAGCAAAUACUCCAUCCCUAUAUUUCUCCUCACCAGUUAAAAAAGUAAAAUAAACAACAACAAACAGACCUAUGAAAGCAACUUGAUUGACCUCUGGGCCAAGGACAGACCCUCAACUUUGUAGUGCCUGACAAUUUUCACUGAGGAGUAAUCCUCACCUGAGAAUAUUUUUUCCAUUGAUUUUUUUUUUCUGAGAGAGAAAGAGAGGAACAUUGAUGUUAGAAAGACACAUCGAUUAUUUGCCUACCACACGUGCCCCAAAUCAAACCUGUGACCCUUCAGUACACCAGCCAACACUUACAACUGUUUAGAUUUGUAUUCUCUUUUUUGCUACGCCAUGUCCAUUUGAUGUAAUGUCUUUUUAAUAGAUGUAAUAUAUGUAUUUAAACAUAAAGUGCCAUUUUCUCUCCCA